rnacentral:lncRNA from 1 species
GCAGGUGGGAGGUGCGGGGCGCGCUCCUGCUCCCAGCCGGACAGCGCCGGCCACUCCGGGGUGACUCUGCACUUGGGCAUGGGCGGGGGCGCGCUGCCUGCAGGGCAGUGUCUCAGUCCAUCAGUCUGUCCGCCUGUCUAGCGGUCGGAGCCCCGCAGUCCUCAGCCGCCCGCGCCCUUGGCCCGGGGCGCCCGGCUGCUGGCCCGAAGCGAGGGGCUGGCGGAGCUGCGACCAAUGGGGCGGCGGCCGAGCGGCGGGCCCCGCCCCGCCCCGCCCGCAGCUCCCGGGAGCCUCGCUCCAGCGGGGCGGGACCCACGGACAGACCGGCCGACGCGGGCCGCCCGGCUCUCCUCGCCGCCGCGGCGGCAGGCGCGGGGCUGCGCCGCGAGGCCUGAUCCCUGCAGCGCGGGCGGACGGCGUCGCAGAGCGGAGCGAGUGAGAUGCACCCGGACUCCUGCAGGUAAGAGUGAUUUUCCAGUGAUUGCUUUGGCCUGUACAACCAGAGAACAGGAUUCUUCCCUUCUUUUUGGCCACCAAAUGCCUACGUGCACCACACAUUCCAGUGUGCUGAGAAGGGCAGAGCGUCUUGGAUGA